rnacentral:rRNA from 1 species
UACGUAGGGGGCGAGCGUUGUCCGGAAUGACUGGGCGUAAAGGGCGCGUAGGCGGCCGGAUAAGUUAGGAGUGAAACUCCAGUUUUCAAGAUUGGAACUGCUUUUAAUACUGUUAGGCUUGAGUGCAGAAGAGGUAAGCGGAAUUCCCAGUGUAGCGGUGAGAUGCGUAGAGAUUGGGAAGAACACCAGUGGCGAAGGCGGCUUACUGGGCUGUAACUGACGCUGAGGCGCGAAAGCGUGGGGAGCGAAC